rnacentral:rRNA from 1 species
AGUGAACGCUGGCGGCAGGCCUAACACAUGCAAGUCGAACGGCAGAACAGUACUUGCUUGUUGUUUCAGGGGCGGACUGGUGGGUAAGUCAGGAGUACCUCGCAAUUUACUUUUGAGAAGGGCAUGACGCAGGGGCACAUACCCUAAUAGCCCAUACGACCUAAGGGUGGGAGCUGGGGAUCUUCCGCCCUUACGUGAUCCAAUGAGGCUAUGUCGGAUUAGCUAGUUGGCGGGGUAAAGGCCCACCAAGGCGACGAUCCGUAGCUGGUCUGAGAGGAUGAUCAGUCACACUGGAACUGAGACACGGUCCAGACUCCUACGGGAGGCAGCAGUGGGGAAUAUUGGACAAUGGGCGCAAGCCUGAUCCAGCCAUGCCGCGUGUGUGAAGAAGGCCUUCGGGUUGUAAAGCCCUUUUUUUGGGGAGGAAAAGCAGUAAGUUAAUACCCCGCUGUUCUGACGGUACCCACAGAAUAAGCACCGGCUAACUUCGUG